CCCUUAGAUGUUCUGGGCCGCACGCGCGCUACACUGACGAAGUCAGCGAGCAUGUCCUACGCCGACAGGUGCGGGGAAUCUUGUCAAACUUCGUCGUGAUGGGGAUUGAUUAUUGAAAUUCUUGAUCAUCAACGAGGAAUUCCUAGUAAGCGCAAGUCAGCAGCUUGCGUUGAUUACGUCCCUGCCCUUUGUACACACCGCCCGUCGCUCCUACCAAUUGAGUGAUCCGGUGAAUAAUUCGGACUGCUGCAAUGCUUGGAUCCCGAGAAUUGCGGCGGAAAAGUUUAGUGAACCUUAUCACUUAGAGGAAGGAGAAGUCGUAACA
rnacentral:rRNA from 1 species